UCAUAGUGCUUGGGGAUAUCACAUGGGACCUACCUCAUCACAAUCAGGACCUGUCUUCAGCCCAGGAUACGGUUAUCAUGGCUAUGGUCAGUCACCAGCUGGUCCUACAGGUGUCCCUAUCUGGAAUGUACCUGUAGGUCCAACAUAUCCUCCACCUCCAUAUCAAGCUGUAUCUCAUUCAGUGGACACAGGGAACCUCAAGAUACACAACUGUCUGAUAACAGUGCAGGGAUUUACUCCACAAACAACAAGGAAUGCUAUAAAGCAGUACUUUGAGAAUGAAUUUCCUUCUGGUGGUGUAGUCAUGAAAAGUUUUGAUUACAACACACAGAUGAGGGUGGCUCGAUUUGUGUACAAGGAUCCUGCAGUUGCAGAGAGAGUUCUCAGUAAAAACUCCCACCAGCUGGAUGGUGCUGCUUUGACUGUAACCCAGGGUUCACUACACAUUGGGCUUGAGACAGAAAACCAACUGGAUAAAACAGAUGUGAAAACCGUGCCAGAAACAACUAAAACAGCUAAUAAAACCCUUCAGAUUCAGUGGGAGGUUAGAUUAUCCUUUGUUUGACAGAUUAUUUGCUGCAGAAGUUGCUAUUGAAAGCAGUCUGGUGAUAACAUAUACAGUGAAGGCUAUCCCAGAUAUGUCCCCCAAUGUAUUCCUCAGGUUGACAGUGGUGAAGGAUGGUAAAACAAAGCAUGUUAACUUUGGGAAUAAAGAGGAGAAAUCAGUGAAUAUAUCACUAGGAGAAGGAGACCAAAGUGCUGGAAAUACUAGUGAGGUGUCUGACAUGGUCAGUAAAGAAAGUCUGCAGGGGGAAGAAUUACCAAAUUGGCACAGAAUGGCUCAGUCACAGAACCAGUGUGGAUGGGAGACAAGGGUUUUCAGACUUGAAGAGUCAGAGCUGUUUAGUGGCGGAGUUAUAAAUGAGAUAUCUCUUGGGAUGUGUGCAAAACAAUCUUCUGUGCUACCAACAGAAGCAGGCAUCUUUCUGGGACAGAUGCAGAUAUUACAGCAGAAAGAUCUUGAUGAGAUAGAAAGCACAACCUUGUUACAUACCAAAACCAUAUCUCUCCAACCAUGGACAUAAUGAGAGAAGGACGAGAAACGCGCUAUCUUCCUUUGAAGCUAUGUGCGUUCGGGUAAACAUUCGCCCAUUGUCUCAGAUAAGCUGUUUUGAUAACUCCACGGGAGCCUGAACAACUUAUUAUCAAGGUAGCGCGCGCUGUGACUCAUUGAAAUCCUUUUGUUCUAUUGCAUGGAUAACGCAAUUUCUCGCAGUCCCUCGUGGUUGCUAUGACACAGCAUUGCCUCCAUCUUGUAAUUGCUAGCACAUAGACUUGCGUCAACAAGUGGAAAUUUGUUUCGGGUUUACAGUUUCUUUUUCCUGUUACCUAAUUAAAACGGGCUCUGGCCUUUGUCUUACUUCUUAUCGUUUCCAAGAUUGUAUUGAUAUAUGUCGAACUUAUAUAUAACUGGUUUAAAAGAAUGUUGACUAAUAAAGCCAGGUAGGUGCUAUCCAAACAUAUCUGAUAACAAGACAAUGCAAUGUACAUGUAGCAAGCCAAUUACAGAGGUGAGACUAAAAUCACAAAUGUGAUCAAGAUCCACUUUUAUGACCAUUACCCAAGUAAUUAUAUUCACGAAGUUUGCAUGUGUACAUGUCCACAUUUAUAUUUGAAUUAAAAGACCAAUGAGGGUGUUGGUCAAUCGUCUCUAUGCUGUUUAGGGACUCCAAUUUAAAGAUGAAAAACUAUUAAUUUUCAUUUUCAAAGUGGAGCAGACCGUAACCGGUAAUGUGUAAAUAUAUAUAUACUUCAGAGCAGUGUUAAUGUCAACUUUGAUAAAAGAAUAUUAAAAGGCCCACAAGUGCGUUUUUGUGCGUAACGAAUGCGUGUGUGGAUCCAUAUUGCAAUGAGAGCCCAUAUUGAAAGUUAAAAAAAAUAAUAAUUAUCAUUCUCAGAAUGGAGCAGAUCGUAGCCGGUAAUGUGUAAAUAUAUAUAUACUUCAGAGCAGUGUUAAUGUCAACUUUGAUAAAAGAAUAUUAAAAAGCCCACAAGUGCGUUUUUGUGCGUAACGAAUGCGUGUGUGGUGUCAUAUUGCA